GGCCCGUUGGUCAAGUGGUUAAGACACCGCCCUUUCACGGCGGUAACAUGGGUUCGAAUCCUGUACGGGUCACCA
rnacentral:tRNA from 1 species